rnacentral:rRNA from 1 species
GGCGUGGGUUGGGCUUACAAAGACCCAGAACAAGUUCAAUUACAGCCGCAAGCGUGGUUUACCUAUCCUCAGUAUGACAAGAUUCGACGAAUACUCUGCUUGGAUGAUCCACAUGACGGUGUCAAAUAAGGCACUAUGUACUUCUUCAUGUCGCUCCUUGAUAUGCGGAGGUGACCUCCUGGCACCGACACAAACUUAACACGCCCAGCCUCA